UACGUAGGGGGCUAGCGUUGUCCGGAAUCAUUGGGCGUAAAGAGCGUGUAGGCGGCCCGGUAAGUCCGCUGUGAAAGUCGGGGGCUCAACCCUCGAAUGCCGGUGGAUACUGUCGGGCUAGAGUCCGGAAGAGGAGAGUGGAAUUCCUGGUGUAGCGGUGAAAUGCGCAGAUAUCAGGAGGAACACCCGUGGCGAAAGCGGCUCUCUGGGACGGUACUGACGCUGAGACGCGAAAGCGUGGGGAGCAAACAGG
rnacentral:rRNA from 1 species